ACUGGUUCUGAUUCAGAAACCGGACUGCGUCCGGGGUUGGACUAGGUCUGACUUAGAAACCAAGCUACAUCUGCGGUUGGACUGGGUCUGACUGAAACUGAACUAGGUCCAGUGGAGGCCUCGGUUUCUAGUGACCAGGAUGAAAGCCCCUGGAACAGCCCACUCACUUUGGAGCCUACGGAUCCUGGGAAAACUGGCAGACACCCGCAGAGGGUGAGAAUUCCUACCAGCUCUCCUAGGUGUCUACUGUGGUGCCUGAUCAAGGGAAGAAGAGGAAAAAGUCAUUCUAUGAAUGAAGACUUACACCAACAAUUUAAAAUGGCUUCCUGAUGGAAAUAUUCCCAGUACAAAAAUAAUCAGGUGAUGGAAAUAAGAUUAAGUAAGCUUGCCCAAAGUGAUAAGGUGACAAAGUGACAUAAGAAUACCAAGAUACAACCUAUGUCUGGCAUUGCUGUGUUGCCUACAAAAAAGACCUCAGACGUUCCUGCUUGGUUUUUUGCCUGCAUAAACAUACUUA